AACGAACGCUGGCGGCGUGGAUAAGACAUGCAAGUCGAACGGGAUUUGUUGGGUAGCAAUACCUGGCAAGUUCAGUGGCGCAAGGGUGCGUAACACGUGGGCAAUCUGCCAAUUGGAAGUGGGGGAUAGCUCGCCGAAAGGCGAAUUAAUACCGCAUGUGGUUAAGAGAGGAGUCUCUCUGACACCAAAGCCGGGGAUCGCAGCGAUGCGACCUGGCGCUUCUUGAUGAGCCCGCGGCCUAUCAGCUUGUUGGUGAGGUAACGGCUCACCAAGGCGAUGACGGGUAGCUGGUCUGAGAGGACGACCAGUCACACUGGGACUGAGACACGGCCCAGACACCUACGGGUGGCAGCAGUCGAGAAUUUUUCUCAAUGGGGGAAACCCUGAAGGAGCGACGCCGCGUGGAGGAUGAAGGUCUUCGGAUUGUAAACUCCUGUCAUUUGGGAACA
rnacentral:rRNA from 1 species